CCUACGGGUGGCAGCAGUGGGGAAUAUUGCACAAUGGGGGAAACCCUGAUGCAGCGACGCCGCGUGAAGGAAGAAGUAUUUCGGGAUGUAAGCUUCUAUCAGCAGGGAAGAAAAUGACGGUACAUGACUAAGAAGCCACGGCUAACUACGUGCAAGCAGCCGCGGUAAUACGUAGGGGGCAAGCGUUAUCCGGAUUUACUGGGUGUAAAGGAAGCGUAGGCGGUGCAGCAAGUCAGAAGUGAAAGCCCGGGGCUCAACUCCGGGACUGCUUUUGAAACUGUUGAAAGAGAUGGCAGGAGAGGUAAGUGGAAUUCCUAGUGUAGCGGUGAAAUGCGUAGAUAUUAGGAGGAACACCAGUGGCGAAGGCGGCUUACUGGACUGUAAAUGACGCUGAGGCUCGAAAGCGUGGGGAGCAAACAGGAUUAGAUACCCCGGUAGUC
rnacentral:rRNA from 1 species